rnacentral:lncRNA from 1 species
GUUUUUGUCAUUGUGCUUUCCAUUUAAUAGGAACUAAGUUUAAAAUGACAUUCACAUAGACUUCCAUAAAUUAGCCCUCUGCCCUGGAGCCUGAGUCUGCAGAGAUCCCUUCCAGGUUGUGGCCUGAGAACAGCAGUGACAUUGGUCAGCUGGACAGCUUGUCCCUUUCCAUUUCCCAGGUGAUGACACUGAGGAAGAGAGAAUGGCCCACAUCAUUUUGCAAGGAUGCAUUCCUGACCAAGAAAGUGUCCGUUAAUGCAAACCCAGGCAUGAAGAUUUUUGGACCUGGCUUUUUAUCCAGACCCCUGACUCUCCUCCACCUUCCCUCCUUCCUUCAUAUGGCACACACAGGAGAUGGGGAACCUGCUGGCCAAGGUGACUGUCAGUGUUCAGGUCAGUGCCCAUUCUGUCCUUGCUCUCUGAGGUCACAGGGACAGUGACUGAAUCAUCAGGAAUCAUGCCAGCACAAGCAGGUUUUUUAGGAAGGUGACUCCUCUCUGUCCCUCGAGGGCUCUUGAGCUGGUGUUAUACCUUUCUGAGGUCAGGCUGUUUUCCCUGCAUGCAGGCUGUGAGUUUCAACACUGAAUGUGCAGGGAGAGUGUGUAGGCUCCAGAGCCUGUAUGGCUCCUGACCACUGAUGAGACCUGGCCAAAACUUCAGCUUUUAUUUGCUUUCUUAAGAUUGGGGAGACUGAAGGAUAUCUGGAAGCCUUUCAAAAGUCAGAACCACUUUAAUAUCACUCCAAACUACUCAUGACAUUUUAAACUUGAUUAUGCAAAGAACUUCAUCUCUGGGAUGUGGAAUUACCCAUUGCCAAAAAUAACUCCACUGAGACCUAGAAUCUGUUUCUGGUGCUGAGAAAAUGGAUGUGAGUGGAAUUAGUCCCCACUCUGAGGAAAGAUGACAUGUGUGGUUCCUGGUCUAUUUGGAGGCAGGCACCACCUGAUCUUAGAUGGUUUAACCCGG